rnacentral:rRNA from 1 species
CAGUAGCCGCGGUAAUACGUAGGGUGCAAGCGUUAAUCGGUAUUACUGGGCGUAAAGCGUGCGCAGGCGGUUAUAUAAGUCAGAUGUGAAAUCCCCGGGCUCAACCUGGGAACUGCAUUUGAGACUGUAUGGCUAGAGUGUGUCAGAGGGGGGUAGAAUUCCACGUGUAGCAGUGAAAUGCGUAGUUAUGUGGAGGAAUACCGAUGGCGAAGGCAGCCCCCUGGGAUAACACUGACGCUCAUGCACGAAAGCGUGGGGAGCAAACAGGAUUAGAUACCCCCGUAGUCCCUGUCUCUUAUAC